UGCAUAUCUACUCGAGUAAGUUGCAUUUAAAGCAAAGUACACCCCUUUUCCAUAAACAGUGGCUGUUGAAAGAAAAUAAUGCAUGAAUGAAUACACAACCAUAUACUGCCCAUCUUUGUGACCUUUAAUAAUAUGCUGUGGACCUCUUUCACGUGGUUUGUCACAAUUUUCCAAAAACAACAUUACUGUGUCUUGCAUGGUGCCCUCUGGAACAUUCUGAAAUUAAAACUAUAUUUCCACAUCAUUAAUUUUCAAAAGACGAGUGUUCUUACCACAUUUCUAUUCAAAAUCAUAAGAAGCAUCACCGUACCUCAAGUAUAACUUUGUUUGUGCUCAAACCAGGAACAGUACGAAGAUCCAUCAUCCAGUGUAGUUACAUUAUACUUGAUGCCUUGUAAUUGCUGCUUCACAAUAUCAUCAAACUCCAUGAAAACUCGAAGUCUCAACUUCGUAGAUUUGAUCUCAACCUCUCGAACACAAUUCUCAUCAAUGCAGUUCAUCAACUCUGUCCUGGCUUCAUCCAGGGUGGACGCCACACCAGCAAUUAUAACGUGUUUAUCCUGCAAGCACAAGGCACACCCAAUAUCAGAUGAAAAGAAAUAUUCAUGCUGAAGCUGCAUAAGCAAAUAUUGCCUCUGAUGUUUUCCGAGCUUCUUCAAAACAUCCUCUUCUAUAUUCUGAUAUAGAAACACAAGCACUGAUGUCUUCUUGGGUUCCAAACAGUUUAAGUUGAUGAGAAUCAUACUCCGGUGUUAUAGAGAGAUGUGGAUAUAUUUGUUUCAUUUCCUCCAAGCAACCAGUUUCAACAACAGCCCUGACAUAACCUGGCUCUCUGCAUGUGUCAAAUUAACCAGUAUCUGUCUUGCAUUUUCAACAUUCUCAACAGAGCCAAUGAUCUGCACAAUAGGAGUUGUUUCGUUUUCUUAAAUCAGCAAGCUUAGUUUCAUCAAAGUGAGCUUCAAGCAUGGUAAAUUGAGCAAAGAAGGAAUCAAGUGCAACAUUAUACUUUUUUUCAACUUCACUCUGUGACUUCUGUGGGACAGUUGGGUGCAAAACCUUCUCAAAUUUGUCAAACUGUUCCUGGUUGUGCUUCAGGUAUUCAACUACUUCUGGACACUUUGAAACGAGUGAUGCUUUAUUGGAUCCAACGUACAAGUGGAGUUUUGAAAAGCAAUGGUAAUAUAGACUCACUGUGACAGGUACUUUACUGAUAACCAUUUGUUGAUCAGACCAACUCUGGACAACACGUUCUGCCACUGAGAGGUAAAGCAUACAAGUAAUCCAUGAGCUGUUACUGUUGGACAAAGAGAGUAAACAAGACAACGUUUUUUGUUGACUGUAAGCAAACAUGAGACAGCAGUACCAUAGCACUCUGCAAAGCAGACGAGAGCAAUAU